rnacentral:misc_RNA from 1 species
GUGACAAGAAUCCACCCACUGAUGGGUGGCUCAAGAUCUCAGUUUGGGGUGCCCACAUUGGGACCACCAGACCCUUCUUUUGGUUCCGCGUCAGGAAUCCAUCAGGCAGAAAAUCUGGAGUGUUAUCACUCCUAUGGCCUGUCUUGAAAAUUGCAGCAGCUGCAUCGUCCUCCACGGGAGGCCGUACUACCCAAAUAAAUCUCUGCUCGCUCAACUCCAAACCCCAUNNUAUUUUUUUUGGUGGGCAAAAAGUCCCCCGCCACUCCCAAAUGAAACAUAAACAACCGACUGUUGGGGUUGCAUAUCCAGCCAACCCAACACGUCACUACUCGAACCGGGUUUGAC